rnacentral:rRNA from 1 species
GGGCUCCUACAUGCUUAAAACCUGGGGGGGAUGGUCAACUGCUUGGGGGCGGGGCGACCCGGUUCUUUCUAAUUUAGAGGGCUAAUGACGGUACCGUAAGAAUAAGCACCGGCUAACUACGUGCCAGCAGCCGCGGUAAUACGUAGGGUGCGAGCGUUAAUCGGAAUUACUGGGCGUAAAGCGUGCGCAGGCGGUUCUAUAAGACAGAUGUGAAAUCCCCGGGCUCAACCUGGGAAUGGCAUUUGUGACUGUAGAGCUAGAGUACGGUAGAGGGGGAUGGAAUUCCGCGUGUAGCAGUGAAAUGCGUAGAUAUGCGGAGGAACACCGAUGGCGAAGGCAAUCCCCUGGACCUGUACUGACGCUCAUGCACGAAAGCGUGGGGAGCAAACAGGAUUAGAUACCCUGGUAGUCCACGCCCUAAACGAUGUCAACUGGUUGUUGGGUGCAUUAGUACUCAGUAACGAAGCUAACGCGUGAAGUUGACCGCCUGGGGAGUACGGCCGCCAGGUUGAAACUCAAA